AUUGAACGCUGGCGGCAGGCCUAACACAUGCAAGUCGAACGAGUGGCGGACGGGUGAGUAAUGUCUGGGAAUCUGCCCGAUGGAGGGGGAUAACUACUGGAAACGGUAGCUAAUACCGCAUACUAUCGGAUGUGCCCAGAUGGGAUUAGCUUGUUGGUGGGGUAACGGCUCACCUAGGCGACGAUCCCUAGCUGGUCUGAGAGGAUGACCAGCCACACGGGGACUGAGACACGGUCCAGACUCCUACGGGAGGCAGCAGUGGGGAAUAUUGCACAAUGGGCGCAAGCCUGAUGCAGCCAUGCCGCGUGUAUGAAGAAGGCCUUAGGGUUGUAAAGUACUUUCAGCGGGGAGGCGUUACCCGAAGAAGAAGCACCGGCUAACUCCGUGCCAGCAGCCGCGGUAAUAC
rnacentral:rRNA from 1 species